rnacentral:piRNA from 1 species
UAUGCAUAUAGUGCCCCAAAA